rnacentral:lncRNA from 1 species
CCAGCCAAAGGAAGAACAAAGGAAGAAAAGAAAGAACAAGAACCCUAGGGUGAAAAUUCAAGAGAAAAUUGAUGGAUUUCAAGUAAUCAAGCAAUCAAAGGUAAAAUUUCUUGAUUUUGACUUGUGAUCUACCUUUCCCAUGCAUUCUUUAACAUUUUUCAUGGUUGAAACACAUGAUUUCAUGAUGGGUAUCUUGCUGGCUGAACACUUAGAGAAAGGUUUUGAUGCUUGAUUUGGUUAGAUUUUAAGAUAUUUUAGUGUUUUUAGUUAGUUAGUGAUGUGUAGCAUGAAAAGCCAACAAGAAAAAUUCAUUUUCUCCUAUCACCCAUCAUUGGCCGAAUUCUCCAUGUGGAAUAUUGAUGAUGAUUUUGAUUUUAUUUCAAGUGAAUUGGUUAGGAAAUGAUGAAUUACAAUGAGAAAAUCAAGUAGGAAAAAUCAUAGUGUUGAUGCACCCACCAUAGCCGAAAUUCCCAAGAGAAAAUGUGAAAAUGAUUUUGCUAAAUUUUAUGCUAUUUGACUUGUGUUUGAUGGUUUGGAGAAUUGGAAGAAAAAUGGAGUUAAUUGGAGUUGAAUUGGACAUAUUGACCAAUUAAUCGAGUGACAGAUCGAAUUAGGCUAAUACCGUUUUAUUUAAGUAUACAAUUGAAUUUGUGUAGAACACCGUGUUUAGAUGAUAAUCCAAACAAUUUACAUCCCAUUUCAUGCAUUAGUAUAGAGCCUAAAUUGGUUUUAUAACAAUUUAGCACAAAUGUAGUAAAUGACUUAUUGUGCAUUAUGUCUAGGUGGUGAGCAUUCUGGCAAAAGUAAAGAGAUAGUACUCAAGGAUCAAGAAUCGGAGUACUUGAAAUUCGACUCCCGAAAUAGUGAGUAACCUUACUAUCGUCUUAAUUAUCUAAAGUGGUUUUAUCCAAUUUUGUGAUUUUAUGAAAAAUGAGUUUAAAUGGUUAAUUUUUAGGUUUUACAAACAAAAUGUGAUUAAAUGAAAUGAUUUUAUAAAAUUGUCUUGAAAUUGAAAGAUGGUUUUGAAAAUUGAGUAAUUGGAGACUAAUUGUUGUGUUAUAAAUCAUGGUUUGAAUUGACAUGAAUGGUUGAAUUGGUAAAUGCGCUGAAAAUGUAUGAACUGUUGAUUUGCCUUGAGAGGCUAUAAAAUAAAAUAAUUGUCAUGUCAUGCUAUACCAAAUUUUAUUGUAUGGUGGGCUUAGCUUGCUGCAGUGAGCAAGUUCUGUAGACCAGCCUAUUAGAGGGGCACGAAAUCCGGUUAUAUACGUAUCUCGGUCGGAGAGGCGCGUAGGGUAACUCCCGAGGUAAAACUUUAGAGUUCACUUCACGCCAAACCACCACGUGAAGGUGAACUCAGUCAAUGCCAAGGAACGACUAUAUUUUCAAAAUAAAAACAUGAUUUAUGCGUACAUGACUUUUUAACAGCCUUGGCGGACUCGGUUGGGAUAGCCUUCGGCGAAGGUAUCCCUGAUAACUGAGUAUGAGAAUGAUUUUGGCACGAGCCAAAGUUUUAAGAAAUUCAUAAGCCAUGUUGAUUACUCGAUUUAUAUGAAUUGAUUUUAUUUGGUUAAAAUGAGUUGAAAGAUGAUAAAUUACAGUAUGAUGAUCUAUUUUAAUCUAUCUCCAUUUACUCAGCUUUAGAUAUUUUAGAUGGUAUUUGUUUACUCACUGGGAUUAUAUAAUCUCACCACCCUCCUUUCCACCCAUUUCAGGCAUAGAAUAGGUUGUAGAUAGUGGAUUUCAUCGAGGCUACCAUUGGAUUUGCAUCCUUCAAACUGUAGGUUUAUAGUCUUCCUUACUUUUGGUUAUUCGAGGGCCCAUUGGUUAUUGUAAAUUAAAUUAAAUACUCUAGCUUACUGUAUUACCGUAUGUAUGAAUCUAUUUUGCUUUUACGCUACAAAAAAAUUAUUUACGUAUAACUCUAAAAAUAUUAUUUUAUAAGAAAAUAGAAUAUUUUAUUAAAUAUUUCUUUUAUUUUUUUAUUAUAUCUAAAUAAUCAUGAUUUCAUUUUAAAUGAAGGUUUUAGAUGUUUAAACUUAUUUUUGAUUAUGAAUUAUGUGUUUUGUACUCGCAUACUACAUUUUUAACGGAUUUUGAAAUUUUUGAGGAAAAAUGACCAAAAUGUCCCUGUGAGAAAAAAAAUAUUUUUCUAUUGUUUUGAUUUGAAAAUAGUUUAUAAUCUCUCAAAACAUGAUUUUAGUAACUAAUACUCAUAGGGGAAGUGAGAAAAAUUGAUGUUAAGCCUUGCGAGGUUGCGAUUGACAUUUCGGAUAAUGAAUGUCUAUCGGGACGUCACGGCGGUUGUCAUAGGCUCGAUGGGAGUUUCAGGUCAUGACAUCUUUGAAGUUUGAAUAUCUAUUAACACCGAAUUGGUUCUUGGUCUUUGAUUGUUUGCUUAUUAUAUUUUGGAUGGGUCUUAAAUUUUCAAAUAAUAAUUCGUUUGCAUUCUCACAAGGAUUGAAGUUAGAUUAAGCAGGGUUAAACUUGAAUUAAUGGAUCACAAUCACAAAUUUGAAGGAAUAAAGACGAUGCCAUGCAUUUUUUUUUCUUGAAAUUAAAUGCUUUAAUUAGUUGGUACAUCAAAACUGAACCAUUCCUGUUAAUUUUUAAAAGAUUGUGUGGUUUAUAGAAGUGUUAUCAUUUUUUAUAAAGGUAUGUAAUUUUAUUGCUAGUUACCAUAAUCAAAAUAAACUAUGAGCUUUUAUGAGUACAAAAUGAAAAUAAAACAUAAAAAUUAAAAUCCCAAGGCAUAUGGAACCAAUUUGGGGAUAUUGGGUACAAAGUAAACCUAUGAACCAAACUUCUCCCUAAGCCCACCUAACUAGACAAGUAAAAAUUCAUGUCCAUGCUCAAUGGAAACUUUUAACUCACUAGCUAUCCUAACAUAUUCGGUCCUCAAUUAAAUUCCUCUUAGCUUAUCUUAAUAAUAAGCCUCCAAGUCAACUCAAAACACAACCCCACCUCCAUUAGAUACGUGUCGAAUCCCUUAAAACCACUCUUAGUUGCUAUUUGAGAAACAAACCAUUAUUCACAUCUUGCAUACCAAUUAAUUGGUGUCCCCAUACAACCUUGCUCGAAUAAAUCAGGAAAAAAAUAUUUGGUCAUAAUACGAACUCUAUCCACACACCAACCUAUUCUCCAUAAAACUCCCACUUGAGUCCAUGUUUAUUUAAAUACAGUGUCAUCCUUGCUAUAUUAAGUUUUCUUUUUUUUUUUAGAAGCAAUGACUUAUGAUUAUAUACCUUAACAAAAGAAGGGGAUAAAUAUAUCCCGGUACAAAAACUCAUGUGCAACCAAUAAAAAAAAGGCUGCAACAGAUCAUCCUGCUUCAACAUCAUUAUAUAUAAACUCUAGACAACCCAUAAUCUUGAAAUCUUAUCACCUAACAGGAAGCAGUAAACCAUAAAAACUAUAAAAACGAAAAGCAGUAGGCAUCAGAGGGACAAAUUACAAAAAAGAGAAUAAAAAGUAACCAUUAGCAUUGAAGAAUAGAAAAAGAACCAGAAAACUUGAAGCAAAAUGAGUUCAAGCUUCUGUGUGAUUAACUUAGAAAAGAUCACAAGUUCUGAGAACCCUUUUUUUGCAAGUGAAUCAGAUUCUUCCUUGGCUUAACGGGAAAUAUGCUUAAUGGUCCACCUAUUGAUUUUGCAGAGGAUAGCAAAAGUUUGCAUGGUGAUUUUUCACACCCUCUAGGGAACCUUCUGAGGAUUGGAAAUCCAUUUAACGACAUUAUAGUUAUCACAUUCGAGGAUAAGGGAGUGAGAAACCCACUUGGACACUACAAAGAUGGUCACAGCUUCUUUGACAGCAAGCAACUCAACUAUGUUAGAGUCGAAGACUCUAAUAAACUUGGAGAAGAGAAUGAAAAUGUCUCCACAUUCAUUUCUUAGAAUCCCUCUAUGCUUGAAUCUAUCGGGCAGCCUCUAGAUGCCUUGUCAAUAUUGAACUUCGAGGUCCUUCGAGCUGACCUAAGCCACAUUUUUUUCUUCUUAGAUGCUAGAGAUUUUUAAGGGAUAGGCCUUUUGUUUGGCUGCCUAGUAGGAUCAACAAUUGUGACAUUAAUCUCUAGCCACUUUGCUUUUAUCCAGCAAGCUACUUUAAUUUUUG